AAAGCGUGCGCAGGCGGUUUGUAAGACUGUCGUGAAAUCCCCGGGCUCAACCUGGGAAUGGCGAUGGUGACUGCAAGGCUAGAGUUUGGCAGAGGGGGGUAGAAUUCCACGUGUAGCAGUGAAAUGCGUAGAUAUGUGGAGGAACACCGAUGGCGAAGGCCAGCCCCCUGGGUCAAAACUGACGCUCAUGCACGAAAGCGUGGGGAGCAAACAGGAUUAGAUACCCGAGU
rnacentral:rRNA from 1 species